AUUGAACGCUGGCGGCAUGCUUUACACAUGCAAGUCGAACGGCAGCGGGGGCUUCGGCCUGCCGGCGAGUGGCGAACGGGUGAGUAAUGCAUCGGAACGUGCCCAUGUCGUGGGGGAUAACGUAUCGAAAGGUACGCUAAUACCGCAUACGUCCUGAGGGGGAAAGCGGGGGAUUCUUCGGAACCUCGCGCGAUUGGAGCGGCCGAUGUCGGAUUAGCUAGUAGGUGAGGUAAAGGCUCACCUAGGCGACGAUCCGUAGCGGGUCUGAGAGGAAGAUCCGCCACACUGGGACUGAGACACGGCCCAGACUCCUACGGGAGGCAGCAGUGGGGAAUUUUGGACGAUGGGCGCGAGCCUGAUCCAGCCAUGCCGCGUGAGUGAAGAAGGCCUUCGGGUUGUAAAGCUCUUUCGGCCGGGAAGAAAUCGUGUUCUCUAACAUAGGACAUGGAUGACGGUACCGGACUAAGAAGCACCGGCUAACUACGUGCCAGCAGCCGCAGUAACAC
rnacentral:rRNA from 1 species